UCCCUACUGGCUCAGAUGGUAAAGCAUCCGCCUGCAAUGCAGGAGACCUGGGUUCAACCCCUGUGUUGGGAA
rnacentral:tRNA from 1 species